rnacentral:rRNA from 1 species
GGAAGCCGUAGAGAAAUCGAGUCCGAAUAGGGCGUUCAGUCGCUGGGUGUAGACCCGAAACCAAGUGAUCUAUCCAUGGCCAGGAUGAAGGUGCCGUAACAGGUACUGGAGGUCCGAACCCACUAGUGUUGCAAAACUAGGGGAUGAGCUGUGGAUAGGGGUGAAAGGCUAAACAAAUCUGGAAAUAGCUGGUUCUCUCCGAAAACUAUUUAGGUAGUGCCUCAAGUAUUACCGACGGGGGUAGAGCACUGUUUUGGCUAGGGGGUCAUGGCGACUUACCAAACCAAGGCAAACUCCGAAUACCGUUGAGUACAGCUUGGGAGACAGAGCACCGGGUGCUAACGUCCGGACUCAAGAGGGAAACAACCCAGACCGCCAGCUAAGGUCCCUAAAAUUGGCUAAGUGGGAAACGAAGUGGGAAGGCUAAAACAGUCAGGAUGUUGGCUUAGAAGCAGCCAUCAUUUAA